ensembl:snRNA U6 U6 spliceosomal RNA
GUGCUUGCUUCAGCAGCACAUAUACUAAAAUUAGAAUUACACAGAGAGGAGUAGCAUGAUACCUGUGCAAAGAUGACACGCAAAUGUGUGAAGUGGUCCGUAUAAAA